rnacentral:tRNA from 1 species
GGCUGGGUAGCUCAGUGGUAGAGCACAGGACUCAUAAGCCUGGUGUCGUGAGUUCGAUCCUCACCCCAGCCA